GGCCCUUUGUCAGAGAGCACUCUGUCUUGGGCGGGAUGGGGUCUGAUUUCAUCAUCUCUCCUGAGCCCUGGGAUAGUCCUCUGAUUUCCUAGGAAGUUUCUUUUAAUAGGAAAGGUGCUAAUGCCUCUAUUUUACUUCAUUACGCCUUACCGCCUGCCCUUUUUGGCUUCUCAUUUCCCUGAAAUUUUCUGGAACACUACUGCCCUCCCACCCCACUAAGACUUCAGGAAAUAUAGGAAAUUAGUGGAGAAGCCUUGGCCGCCACCACGGACAAGCUCUUCAAGGCAAGAUGGCAAGAGGUGUCAUGAGGCUACUCACUCACUCCUGGAAAAAAUGAUUCCGAACGAGACACUCCUCCCAGGGAAGUCAAGCGGCUCUCUCAAGGGCCCUGAAGUCAGAGUCAAAACAGCUUCACCCCGAUGCGCUGUGUGCCUGUAGGCCUGCCAUUCUAAACCAGGGGCACUGACAGAAAAUGAAAAGAAUUAGCAUUCCAGGUUGGCAGCUUAGGCAGAAGUGAGUCUCUGCCUUUCCAGCAGAACAAUAAAGCCCAGGUGCUGGAUGCACCUGAGACCCACCGGUUUCAA